GUGAUCGCUCUUGGUGCGCCGCAAUUCGCAAUGAAUACGCGACGCCCCGGGAGUGCGAGGUAACAUAAAUAACGUCACCCAUCUUCCCUUUUAAUAAAGUGUGUGCGAACACACACAAUACCAAUUUACUUUCAUUACGCCUUUAGGUUUUCAAUUACCCAAUGACUUGCGCACAUGCUAGACUCCUUGGUCCGUGUUUCAAGACGGGUCCUGUAAUUACCCAAAACAUAAACGCCGUUGACGGAUGAUAAGAGACAGUUCGAGAAUACCAUGACCAACAAUACUGUAUGUGUAGAACCGGCCAUUAGAACUCCGAUUUCCACAAAAUUCAAUUAUAAAAGCAUACAAGCAUUUGUCAUAGAUCUGAACGCCCCCACAAUAAAGUGGCGACUCAUCAUCACAGUUAUACCAUCAGGCUAAUGUCGGGACACCACAAGUCUGUGAACACACAAGUGUACGCCGCAAAGCGCACUCCCGAUGCCACAGUCUCCAUUGCGGGCCUUAGACAAAAUAUAUACACCCAAUGGGUCACGACGUCCUACUAGGGGAGAAGUGCACGCCUCCGGCUAUAAACUAUAAACACUAACAGCGGUGCACUAUAUAACGGUACACAGCACACAAGGUACUAUGCAGCAUACAAUGUCACAGUAUUAUAACACUGAAAGUAUGUCACAACCGGCGAGGCAAUUGAAUCUCCCCUUUCGAACUUUCGGGAACCACAGGUUUACCCCUGAACAGUUUCACGUACUCUUGAACUCUCUCUUCAAAGUUCUUUUCAACUUUCCCUCACGGUACUUGUUCGCUAUCGGUUUCGCAGUGAUAUUUAGCCUUAGAUGGAGUUUACCACCCACUUAGAGCUGCACUCUCAAGCAACCCGACUCUAAGGAGAAACCCACCCAAAUAUAUAAACGGUCACUACGGGCCUGGCACCCUCUAUGGGCGAAUGGCCCCCUUCAAGAAGGACUUGGACUCGCUUAUAAAUACUUAGGUUAAACGGGCUCUCCCAAACACUACAUUGCCCGACGACCGUUUCCGAUCGUGGGCUUCAGUGCUGGGCUCCUCCCUGUUCGCUC
rnacentral:rRNA from 1 species